CAAAAAGUCUGGUCAUUCACCUAAAUGGUACCCGGUGUCCAAUGUAGGAAUUGUAAACAAUUUGGACAUGUGCAAAAGAUUUGCAAAAACCAGAAAGAAAAAUAGAACCAGCAACAAGCACAAGUGGUAGAGGAUCAGUUGCAACAUCAGGAGGAGCAUCUAUUCACUACCAUCAAUUUUAAGGCCUGCAAUAGUGUUAAGACAUGGUUACUGGACAGUGGUUGUACACAUCAUAUGGCUUCUGAUUCCAGCAUCUUUGUUGAACUAAACAGUUCAUACAAAUCAAAGGUGAAAGUUGGCAAUGGAGACUAUGUGAAAGUGGAGGGAAUUGGAGUGAUUGGUGUACAAUUCCAUCAGGUAUUAAGCAUAUUUCUGAUGUACUUUAUGUCCCUGACAUUGAUCAAACUUAGCAAGUGUAGGCCAAUUAAUUGAGAAGAACUGCACAUUGAUAUUUAAAGAUAGUGGUUGCACUAUAUUUGAUCCAAGUGGAAAUAAGUUAAUGUUAGUUGAAAUGAGGCAAAGAAGCUUUACACUAGAAUGGAAGAAUAUGACAUCUCAUGUAUUCACCAGUACUAAGGUUGAGUCUUCACUUUGGCACAAACGGUUUGGACAUGUAAAUUACACCUCACUCAAGCAAUUAAACCAAUUGGAAUUGGUUGAAAACUUACCUAACAUUUGUGAUGAAAGCUGUGUUUGUGGGGUAUUCCAACUUGGAAAGCAAACCAGAAUGCCUUUUUCUAAAAAUCAAUCAAGGAGAGCAUCAAUUAAACUGGAAUUGAUCCAUUCAGAUGUGUGUGGCCAAAUGAGAACACAAACUCCAAAUGGCAGUCGAUAUUUUGUACUAUUCAUUGAUGAUUUAACAAGAAUGUGUUAGGUGUUUUUUCUAAAAAUGGAAUCUGAUGUAGCUGGUGUAUUUCAGAGGUUGAAUAAGCAGGUGGAAAAUGAAUGUGAUAGUAGAAUAAAAGCCAUUAGAACUGUCAAUGGAACUGAGUACAGGUGUGACUAGUUUGAUAAGUUUGCAAUGAUGUAGGAAUCAAACAUCAAUUAACCAUUCUAUAUUUCCCUCAGCAAAAUGGGAUGUGUGAAAGGAAAAAUAGAACCGUGAUGGAAAUGACAAGAUGCUUAAUGCUUAAGAAGAAAGUUCCUCAUGAAUUCUAGGUUGAAGCUGUAAAUACAGCUGGGUAUUUGCUCAAUAGAUUACCAACCAAGGCUUUAAAGAAAUUCACUCCUUUUGAAGCUUGGCAUGGAGUUAACCCAAAUGUCCUGCAUUUGAAAGUAUUUGGAAGCAUCUGCUACACCCAUAUACCUAAUGUCAAGAGGGAUAAACUGAGUCCUAAGGCAGAACUUGGAGUCUUGGUUGGUUAUUGUGAUAAUGCCAAGGGCUACAGAGUCUAUAAUCCACACAACAGGAAGAUGAUGUUCAGCGGGGAUAUCAAGGUUGAUGAAAACUCUUCAUGGAACUGGGAAGGAAAUGUCCUGGAUAAACCUCAAACUCCAAUGUUGGUGGCUCAAGGAAAUGAAGAUAUCAUUAGCAAUGAAGUUGAACCAAAUGAACCUGAACCAGAUGAUGACUCAGAUUCAGAGAAUGAAGUGCUGAGAACCAGACCUCUUGCUAAUAUAUAUGCCAGGUGCAAUGCAGCCGAAUUGGAACCUUCAACCUUCAAUGAAGCAGUAAAUUCACUUGGCUAGAUGGCUACAAUGAAGGAUGAGAUAGGGAUGAUUGAGAGAAUGGAAUAUGGUUGUUGGUUGACAGACCAAAACACAAGAAUGUGAUAGGAGUUAAAUGGGUGUUUAAGACCAAACUAAACUCUGAGUUCAAUCAACAAACUCAAAGCAAGGCUGGUUAUGAAGGGUUAUACUUAGCAAUAUGGUGUUGAUUAUACUGACACAUUUGCUCCUGUUGCAAGACAUGAAAAAAUCAGGCUGCUGUUGGCAAUAGCUGCACAAAGAGGCUGGAACAUUCAUCAUUUGGAUGUCAAAUCAGCUUUCUUAAAUGGUUGGCUGAAUGAGGAGAUUUAUGUUGAACAACCAGAUGGAUUCUUUAUUGCUGGAGAAAAAAAUAAAGUGUAUUUGUUGAAGAAAGCUUUGUAUGGCUUGAGGCAGGCUCCAAGAGCCUGGUACAACCGAGUUGAUGAACAUUUAAGCUGCUUUGGUUUUUUAAAAGUGUUAAUGAACAAACACUACAUAUAAAACAAGUGGAGGAAGAUGUUAUUAUCAUUUCAUUGUAUGUUGAUGACCUUCUAGUAAUUGGCAGCAAUCUGAAUUCUAUUGACAGUUUUAAAAGUGAAAUGAAGAUGGCAUUUGAGAUGACUAAUUUGGGGAGAAUGAAGUAUUUACUUGAAAUGGAAAUAAAUCAAACAAAGGAUGUAAUUUUUGUCAAUCAAGGGAGGUAUGCUGAAGAAAUUUUGAAGAAGUUCAACAUGGAACUACAAAUUAGUGAACACACCUUUGAUUCAAAAUUUGAAACUAAUGAAAGAUGAUGGUAGCAAGAAGUCUGAUGAAAAAGUGUAUAGAAGCUUGAUGGGAUGCCUUUUGUACUUAACCAUCAUAAGACCAGACCUCACAUUAGGUGCCAACAUACUUUCCAGAUUUAGACAGGAGCCAACUGAUCUACAUUUUUAGGCUGCAAAGAGAGUUCUAAGGUAUAUCAAAGGAAAUGCAGAGCUUGGAAUCUGAUUUAGGAGGUCUGAAAACUAUGAUGUGAAGAGCACAUCAGGGUAUGUAUUCUAUCUAGGAUCAAGUCCUGUCUGCUGGAACUCAAUGAAGUACAAAAUCGUGGCUCAGUCAACAGCUGAAGCAGAGUAUGUGGCUGCAUCUAAGGCUACAAACCAGGCAAUCUGGUUAAGGAAAGUCUUGGAGGAUCUAAACCAUAAGCAAUCUGAUGCAACAGUGAUCCAUUGUGACAACCAAUCUGCUGUGGCUAUGGUUAAAAACUUGGUGUUCCAUGGAAGGACAAAACAUAUCAAGAUAAAGUAUCAUGCAAUUAGGGAAGCACACGAGAACCUUGAAGUGAAGCUGGUGCAUUGCAAUUCUGAGGUCUAAUUUGCAGACAUCCUAACAAAACGUUUGUCUAAAGAAAGGUUUGAAACAUUAAGGAAAUGCUUUAGUGCUUCCAACAAAAGUGUCAACGAGUGUUGAUAGUUGAUUGCCACUUUUGUUGUCACAUUUUGUAGCAUUAUAUGUAUUAAAGUCAAUCCAUGUAAUGAUUAUUUUAAUUGCUUAUAAUGUGUUUCACAGCAUGGUAUAUCCUGUCAACAGAUAAGGUAGUAGUUGGUGACUAGAAAUAUGGUAAAAAACCUUUGUAAUAUGUAUCCAAUGUAGCCGGUUAUGGCAAUGAUUUCAUCUGAUCUUUUCCUUAUCAAAAAUCCA
rnacentral:lncRNA from 1 species